rnacentral:rRNA from 1 species
UACGGAGGAUGCGAGCGUUAUCCGGAUUUAUUGGGUUUAAAGGGUGCGCAGGCGGCACGGCAAGCCGGCGGUCAAAUCGCGGGGCUCAACCCCGCCCAGCCGUCGGAACUGCCGGGCUAGAGUGGGCGAGAAGUGCGCGGAAUGCGUGGUGUGGCGGUGAAAUGCAUAGAUAUCACGCAGAACUCCGAUUGCGAAGGCAGCGCACCGGCGCCCUACUGACGCUCAGGCACGAGAGCGUGGGUAUCGAACAGG